UACAGAGGGGGCAAGCGUUGUUCGGAAUUACUGGGCGUAAAGGGCGCGUAGGCGGCCUGUUAAGUCGAACGUGAAAUCCCCGGGCUCAACCCGGGAACUGCGUCCGAUACUGGCAGGCUUGAAUCCGGGAGAGGGAUGCGGAAUUCCAGGUGUAGCGGUGAAAUGCGUAGAUAUCUGGAGGAACACCGGUGGCGAAGGCGGCACUCG
rnacentral:rRNA from 1 species